CGGGGCGUGGCGCAGUUUGGUAGCGCGCUUGAAUGGGGUUCAAGAGGUCGCAAGUUCAAUUCUUGUCGCUCCGACCA
rnacentral:tRNA from 1 species